rnacentral:rRNA from 1 species
AUUGAACGCUGGCGGCAUGCUUUACACAUGCAAGUCGAACGGUAACAGGCCGCAAGGUGCUGACGAGUGGCGAACGGGUGAGUAAUGCAUCGGAACGUGCCCAGUCGUGGGGGAUAACGCAGCGAAAGCUGCGCUAAUACCGCAUACGAUCUAUGGAUGAAAGCGGGGGACCGUAAGGCCUCGCGCGAUUGGAGCGGCCGAAGUCAGAUUAGGUAGUUGGUGGGGUAAAGGCUCACCAAGCCAACGAUCUGUAACUGGUCUGAGAGGACGACCAGCCACACUGGGACUGAGACACGGCCCAGACUCCUACGGGAGGCAGCAGUGGGGAAUUUUGGACAAUGAGCGCAAGCCUGAUCCAGCAAUGCCGCGUGCAGGAAGAAGGCCUUCGGGUUGUAAACUGCUUUUGUACGGAACGAAACGGUCCUGGUUAAUACCUGGGGCUAAUGACGGUACCGUAAAAAUAAGCACCGGCUAACUACGUGCCAGCCGCCGCGGUAACAC